GCCGGAUUAGCUCAGCUGGCAGAGCGGCUGAUUUGUAAUCAGCAGGUCGGGGGUUCGAAUCCCUCAUCCGGCACCA
rnacentral:tRNA from 1 species